AGUCCUUUCUUCUUGAACUGCCGAAAGUACCAUCGCACUACUGUAGGUCCUCCUCUUCCAAGAUGUACCUGGAGCCUUUAUUCAAAUCAAUCAAUCAUCUCCACUCACAAUAUAAGCAGGCAUGUGCAGCCAACGGCAUCCAGGCUCUGUCAAGACAAGUGUUCAGUAACACCUUUAAAGAAUUAAAUCUGUCAUUGUUCCAUCCAAAAAAAAGAUCAGUGUGACACUUGCUGUGCCUUCAAAGCCGGGAACAUCGAGGCUGCUGUGUGGGAGGAACACUGCGUUAAGAAGGACGAGGCACGAGCAGAAAAGGAUAGGGACAAGCAACUUGCAAAUAACACCACCUUGGUUGCAUGCAUGGAUCUGCAGGGCCUUCUCCUCUGCCCAAAGCUUCAAGCGUCUGCCCUCUAUUUCAAAAUGAAGCUGAGUGUCCAUAAUUUUACCAUCUACAAUAUGGCAUCACAUGAAGCGACAAAUUACCUUUGGCAUGAGGGUGAGGGGGGGGUCUCUGCCAAUGAGUUUGCCUCCUGCAUUGUGGACUAUCUUGAAACACACCUCACUUACACUGAAUUCAUUCUUUGGAGUGAUGGGUGUGGUUAUCAAAACCGAAACCUGGUCCUGAGCAAUGCCCUCUUAAAGUUUGCCACUGAAAGAAAAAAGCAAGUGACGCAGAAGUACCUUCAAAGAGGCCACACACAGAUGGAAUGUGACUCUGUGCACAGUGUGAUCGAAAGAAAGCUAAGGAACCGAGAUGUACAUGUUCCAGCUGAGUAUGCUGCAGUCAUUCGGGGAGCUCGUUCAAGUCCAAAACCAUACGAGCUGAAGUAUGUUGAUUACAGCUUUUUCCAAGACUUCAGCAAAGUGAAAAUCUGCAAGUCAAUUCGACCUGGUAGCAAAGCAGGCGAUCCUACGGUGCAUGACCUCCGAGCAGUCAGAUACAAUGUGGACGGCAGUAUGGAGUUCAAAUUACUCCACUCCGACAACUGGCAACCCUUCACAUCCCCAUCCCUGAGGAAGGCGUGUGUCAGCGUGGCCCCACUCUAUACAUCCCCCCAGAAAAUUAAAGCACUGAAGUUCAAGCACCUUCAAGAACUGAAACAUGUCUUACCGAAGGACUUUCAUCCAUUUUAUGAUGCACUUGACCAUGAGUGAUGGUCAGCUCAAAUAGCACAAACAAUAACAUACACACCACUAUUAAACAUUAUUUAUUUAUUUAUUGAUAAAAGCCAGUGUGGUUUUUCUGACUACCUAUAUACAUGUCUUAUUGAUUAAUAUAUUAAUGAAAUGUUAUAUUUAUUGAGUAUUGAGAAGUAAUUGUUUAUGUGCAUGUUUGAAAAUGACUUGGUUUUAUCUGUUGAACUCUUGGAAUUCCUAUCUGCCAAUCUGACAGGAAAGACAUGAUUAAAAUCUUGCAUUUAGGCAAGUUGCUAUUUUAUAAUUCCACCUGUAGUAGCAGUAGUGAGUCUAAUUAGCCGUAACUGCUUAAACAGGAACGGGCUAGUUGGAGUUUAGUGAAAUGGCAGCUUCAUUUUCCUUUUCUUUUCUGCAAUACAGUGCCAAAUAAAUAUUAUUUUGAUGAUAGCCUGGUGAGACAAUAGCUUUCCUUUACAGUAGGCCUAACUUUAUCGCAAGAAAAGUUUUCCCAUUGUCGCCUGAGACGUAGGUCAAGGAGUGGAGGAGUGACACAAUUACGGUAGGUCUAACGUUACAACCUCUGUAUAGCUUGUUAGUGUACUGAUUCAUUAUCGCUUCAUAGUUAGCAGGAGACAUAAAUAUGAAGGGACAAUGAAUCAGUACACUGAUUUUCAUACUGACAAGAUUAAUAGGCUAUGCUCAGUUUAUUAAAUAGCCUUAGGUUGGACGUAGGCUAUUUAAUAAACUUAGCGUAGCCUAUUCAUCUGUCAGUAUGAAACGCGACUUGCCCAUUCAUGAUCGGAAGAACGCGUAUCGACCACCGUUACUGUGAAAUAUGCACGUAUGUCCAUUUAAACUCGAUUUUGGUAAAAUGUGAACUAUACCAUCACACUGGCAAUAUUACGACUACAUUUAAAGAAGACGUACCAAGUAUGACAACGCUACGUUCAACUGCUUUGAAAUUAGGGUGUUUUUUUCAUUUCCUGAAAAGUAACCGUUUUGGAUAUACGCGAGUUUCAUCGGACAGCGACGAUAUGCACGUUGCUUCUG
ensembl:lncRNA